UGGAGAUCCGGGCCAAGACCUUCCCUAGAGUCUCGCCCUGGUCCCGCAGCAUGUGCUUCUGACUGCCGUCCAGACAGAAGGAGAUGGUGGAUGACCAUGUGCAGGGCGUAGGCCAGGACCAGUAGCAGGAUGAGGGAAGUGACGAGGCCCAUCAGGAUGGCUGGCGUCAGGAAGGUGGCACAGUCGCUCGCGGGAGAAAACUUACCGGAGACUGGCUGGUGUCGACGGGUUUCUGAGGAGAGAAGGCUUCCUCCGUCAGGUCCAGCUGCUUCUGCCUCUCAUAGCGGAGAUACA